rnacentral:rRNA from 1 species
GUAGGUGGCAAGCGUUGUCCGGAAUUAUUGGGCGUAAAGCGCGCGCAGGCGGUCCUUUAAGGUCUGAUGUGAAAGCCCACGGGCUCAACCGUGGAGGGUCAUUGGAAACUGGGGGACUUGAGUACAGAAGAGGAAAGCGGAAUUCCACGUGUAGCGGUGAAAUGCGUAGAGAUGUGGAGGAACACCAGUGGCGAAGGCGGCUUUCUGGUCUGUAACUGACGCUGAGGCGCGAAAGCGUGGGGAGCAAACAGGAUUAGAUACCCUGGUAGUCCACGCCGUAAACGAUGAGUGCUAAGUGUUAGGGGGUUUCCGCCCCUUAGUGCUGCAGCUAACGCAUUAAGCACUCCGCCUGGGGAGUACGGCCGCAAAGGCUGA